rnacentral:pre_miRNA from 1 species
CUCAAUGUUUUGACUCUUCGUCUUGUUUGAAAUUUUUUUGCGAUUAAUAUUUUUAUUGUUACUAGAUGAUAAAAUAUAAAUAAUAUUUUAUGCGUAACUAAUUUUUUUAAGUUUUAUACAAAUUUUUCAAAUAAGAUGAAUGGUCAAAGCAUUAGGCAUAAAAA